rnacentral:rRNA from 1 species
UGGGGAAUAUUGGACAAUGGGCGCAAGCCUGAUCCAGCCAUGCCGCGUGAGUGACGAAGGUCUUCGGAUUGUAAAGCUCUUUUUGGCGGGGACGAUAAUGACGGUACCCGCAGAAUAAGCCCCGGCUAACUUCGUGCCAGCAGCCGCGGUAAUACGAAGGGGGCUAGCGUUGUUCGGAAUUACUGGGCGUAAAGCGCACGUAGGCGGACUGAUAAGUCGGGGGUGAAAUCCCGGGGCUCAACCUCGGAACUGCCUUUGAUACUGUUAGUCUCGAGUCCGGAAGAGGUGAGUGGAAUUCCUAGUGUAGAGGUGAAAUUCGUAGAUAUUAGGAAGAACACCAGUGGCGAAGGCGGCUCACUGGUCCGGUACUGACGCUGAGGUGCGAAAGCGUGGGGAGCAAACAGGAUUAGAUACCCCCGUAGUCCCUGAGCGGGCUGGCAAGGCGCAU